GACGAACGCUGGCGGCGUGCUUAACACAUGUAAGUCGAACGAUGAAGAAAAGAAUUGAAGCUUCGGCAGAAAUUCAUUUCGGAUUAGUGGCAGACGGGUGAGUAACGCGUGAGCAACCUACCUCUUACAAAGGGAUAGCCUCGGGAAACCGGGAUUAAUACCAUAUAACAUUGCGACGAAGCAUUUCGAUGCAAUCAAAGCUACGGCGGUAAGAGAUGGGCUCGCGUCCCAUUAACCAGAUGGUGAGGUAACGGCUCACCAUAGUAACGAUGGGUAACCGGCCUGAGAGGGUGAACGGUCACACUGGAACUGAGACACGGUCCAGACUCCUACGGGAGGCAGCAGUGGGGAAUAUUGCACAAUGGAGGGAACUCUGAUGCAGCGACGCCGCGUGAGUGAUGAAGGAAUUCGUUUCGUAAAACUCUGUUCUAUGGGAAGAAAAGGACUGUACCAUAGGAGAAAGCUCCGGCUAAAUACGUG
rnacentral:rRNA from 1 species